rnacentral:rRNA from 1 species
GAUGAACGCUGGCGGCAGGCCUAACACAUGCAAGUCGAACGCCGUAGCAAUACGGAGUGGCAGACGGGUGAGUAACGCGUGGGAACCUUCCCAGUGGUACGGAAUAGCUCAGGGAAACCUGGGGUAAUACCGUAUACGCCCUUCGGGGGAAAGAUUUAUCGCCAUUGGAUGGGCCCGCGUCGGAUUAGCUAGUUGGUGGGGUACUGGCCUACCAAGGCGACGAUCCGUAGCUGGUCUGAGAGGAUGAUCGGCCAGACUGGGACUGAGACACGGCCCAGACUCCUACGGGAGGCAGCAGUGGGGAAUAUUGGACAAUGGGGGCAACCCUGAUCCAGCCAUGCCGCGUGGAUGGUGAAGGCCUUCGGGUUGUAAAGUCCUUUCGCGCACGACGAUGAUGACGGUAGUGCGAGAAGAAGCCUCGGCUAACUCCGUGCCAGCAGCCGCCGUAA